AUGGUCGCCAUCGCCACCUCCUUCUCCGCCGCCGCCGCCGUCGCCGUCGCCCGCCGGAGCUCCCCGGCUCACCUCCAGCUCGUCGCUCGCCGCCGCCUCCCGUUCUGCACAGCCGCCUCCUCAUCCACCGUGCCACCUGCCGCUGCGGCGGGCUUUGGGUGGGCCGACGCCCUCCGAGUUGCCAGCGAAUUCGGGGUCGGCGAUGAGUCCGACCUUUCGGGAUACUUCCAGAAGGUCGACAUCUGCAACCGAGGAAUGGGUAACAAGGGGGAGUUCGUGGAGUUCAUGGUGGAGGAUCAAGUGGUGGGAUACAUCCACAAGGGGUUUACUGAACACCUGAGGGACUUCCAUGAUGUUUUUACCAUUGUCUCGGGCAGCAAUGGCAAGAACAGUGUGGAGCAUGUGACUCUCCACUCAUCGCUCAGGACUCCAGAAGAUCGAACAAUCGCCAUCGGAGAUGUCAUAAAAGGCCUAGGGGAACUCAUUCCUGGUAUACGAAAUGAGCUCUAUCCAGUAACCUCAUCUUACGGCAUGCCUGUGUACUUCUCUCUGGAACGUGCUGCUGCUCCCUACUUUGGUAUAAAGGCUUAUGGUGUUCAUAUGAAUGGGUACAUCGAGAAGCAUGGUGAAAAGUCUCUUUGGAUUGGUAAGAGAAGUGAUGUGAAGCAAACUUACCCUGGGAUGCUAGAUCAUCUUGUUGCUGGUGGCCUGCCUUACGGAAUCUCCUGUAAAGAGAAUAUCAUCAAGGAAUGUGAAGAGGAAGCAGGAAUACCAAGAUCCAUGUCAACCAACGCUACUUCUGUUGGAGCCAUUUCUUACAUGGAUAUCAAUGGGUUUAGAUACAAAAGGGAUGUUCUGUUCUGCUAUGACCUUAGACUUCCUGUAGAUUUCGUUCCUAAUAAUGAAGAUGGAGAAGUUGAUAGCUUCAGACUAAUCCCGGUACCACAUGCUGCAAACAUUAUACGGAGGACAGAUUUUUUCAAGCCAAACUGCAACCUUGUGAUCAUUGACUUCCUCUUCCGUCAUGGGUACAUAAACCCAGACUGUAAUGGGUACCUGAAGCUGCUGACAAGCUUGAGGAGUGGUGAUUGUUCCUAG
rnacentral:rRNA from 1 species